CCUACGGGUGGCAGCAGUAGGGAAUAUUGCUCAAUGGAGGCAACUCUGACGCAGCAACGCCGCGUGGAUGAUGAAGGUUUUCGGAUUGUAAACUCCUUUUCUUAGAGAAGAUAAAGAUGAUAUUUCCUGAGUAAGCACCCGCUAACAACUUCCCAGCAGCAGCGGUAAUACGGCGGGGGCAAGAGUUAUUCGGCAUCAUUGGGCGGAAAGAGCGUGUAGGCGGGUUGACAAGUCAGAUGUGAAAUUCUAUAGCUUAACCACAGAACUGCUUUUGAUACUGUUGUACUAGAGUAUGGAAGAGGUAGGUGGAAUUCUUGGUGUAGGGGUGAAAUCCGUAGAGAUCAGGAGGAAUACGCGUGGCGAAGGCGAGUUGCUAGAACAUAACUGACGCUGAUGCACGAAAGCGUGGGGAGCAAACAGGAUUAGAUACCCUAGUAGUC
rnacentral:rRNA from 1 species